CCUGGCUCACGAUGAACGCUGGCGGCGUGCCUAACACAUGCAAGUCGAACGAAGCAAUUAAGAUGAAGUUUUCGGAUGGAAUCUUGAUUGACUGAGUGGCGGACGGGUGAGUAACGCGUGGAUAACCUGCCUCACACUGGGGGAUAACAGUUAGAAAUGACUGCUAAUACCGCAUAAGCGCACAGUGCCGCAUGGCAGUGUGUGAAAAACUCCGGUGGUGUGAGAUGGAUCCGCGUCUGAUUAGCCAGUUGGCGGGGUAACGGCCCACCAAAGCGACGAUCAGUAGCCGACCUGAGAGGGUGACCGGCCACAUUGGGACUGAGACACGGCCCAAACUCCUACGGGAGGCAGCAGUGGGGAAUAUUGCACAAUGGGCGAAAGCCUGAUGCAGCGACGCCGCGUGAGUGAAGAAGUAUUUCGGUAUGUAAAGCUCUAUCAGCAGGGAAGAAAAUGACGGUACCUGACUAAGAAGCCCCGGCUAACUACGUGCCAGCAGCCGCGGUAAUACGUAGGGGGCAAGCGUUAUCCGGAUUUACUGGGUGUAAAGGGAGCGUAGACGGCGAAGCAAGUCUGAAGUGAAAACCCAGGGCUCAACCCUGGGACUGCUUUGGAAACUGUUUUGCUAGAGUGUCGGAGAGGUAAGUGGAAUUCCUAGUGUAGCGGUGAAAUGCGUAGAUAUUAGGAGGAACACCAGUGGCGAAGGCGGCUUACUGGACGAUAACUGACGUGAGGCUCGAAAGCGUGGGGAGCAAACAGGAUUAGAUACCCAGGUAGUCCACGCCGUAAACGAUGAAUGCUAGGUGUUGGGGGGCAAAGCCCUUCGGUGCCGCCGCAAACGCAGUAAGCAUUCCACCUGGGGAGUACGUUCGCAAGAAUGAAACUCAAAGGAAUUGACGGGGACCCGCACAAGCGGUGGAGCAUGUGGUUUAAUUCGAAGCAACGCGAAGAACCUUACCAAGUCUUGACAUCCCCCUGACGGGCCGGUAACGCGGCCUUUCCUUCGGGACAGGGGAGACAGGUGGUGCAUGGUUGUCGUCAGCUCGUGUCGUGAGAUGUUGGGUUAAGUCCCGCAACGAGCGCAACCCUUAUCCUUAGUAGCCAGCACGUGAAGGUGGGCACUCUAGGGAGACUGCCAGGGAUAACCUGGAGGAAGGUGGGGAUGACGUCAAAUCAUCAUGCCCCUUAUGAUUUGGGCUACACACGUGCUACAAUGGCGUAAACAAAGGGAAGCGAGACAGUGAUGUGGAGCAAAUCCCAAAAAUAACGUCCCAGUUCGGACUGUAGUCUGCAACCCGACUACACGAAGCUGGAAUCGCUAGUAAUCGCGAAUCAGAAUGUCGCGGUGAAUACGUUCCCGGGUCUUGUACACACCGCC
rnacentral:rRNA from 1 species